CCUACGGGUGGCAGCAGUGAGGAAUAUUGGUCAAUGGACGAAAGUCUGAACCAGCCAAGUAGCGUGAAGGAUGACUGCCCUAUGGGUUGUAAACUUCUUUUAUAUGGGAAUAAAAUGUUCCACGUGUGGGAUUUUGUAUGUACCAUAUGAAUAAGGAUCGGCUAACUCCGUGCCAGCAGCCGCGGUAAUACGGAGGAUCCGAGCGUUAUCCGGAGUUAUUGGGUUUAAAGGGUGCGUAGGUGGAUUGUUAAGUAAGUUGUGAAAGUUUGCGGCUCAACCGUAAAAGUGCAGUGGCUACUGGCAAUCUUGAGUACAGUAGAGGUGAGCGGAAUUCGUGGUGUAGCGGUGAAAUGCUUAGAUAUCACGAAGAACUCCGAUUGCGAAGGCAGCUCACUGGACUGCAACUGACACUGAGGCUCGAAAGUGUGGGUAGCAAACAGGAUUAGAUACCCUAGUAGUC
rnacentral:rRNA from 1 species